rnacentral:rRNA from 1 species
GACAGAGGGUGCAAACGUUGUUCGGAUUUACUGGGCGUAAAGCGCGUGUAGGCGGCUUUGCAAGUCGGAUGUGAAAGCCCACGGCUCAACCGUGGAAGUGCAUCCGAAACUGCAUGGCUGGAGUCUCGGAGAGGAAGGUGGAGUGCUUGGUGUAGAGGUGAAAUUCGUAGAUAUCAAGCAGAACACCUGCGGCGAAGGCGGCCUUCUGGACGAUGACUGACGCUGAGACGCGAAAGCGUGGGGAGCAAACAGG